UGGGGAAUUUUGGACAAUGGGCGAAAGCCUGAUCCAGCAAUGCCGCGUGUGUGAAGAAGGCCUUCGGGUUGUAAAGCACUUUUGUCCGGAAAGAAAUCCUUGGCUCUAAUACAGUCGGGGGAUGACGGUACCGGAAGAAUAAGCACCGGCUAACUACGUGCCAGCAGCCGCGGUAAUACGUAGGGUGCAAGCGUUAAUCGGAAUUACUGGGCGUAAAGCGUGCGCAGGCGGUUUGCUAAGACCGAUGUGAAAUCCCCGGGCUCAACCUGGGAACUGCAUUGGUGACUGGCAGGCUAGAGUAUGGCAGAGGGGGGUAGAAUUCCACGUGUAGCAGUGAAAUGCGUAGAGAUGUGGAGGAAUACCGAUGGCGAAGGCAGCCCCCAUGGGCCAAUACUGACGCUCAUGCACGAAAGCGUGGGGAGCAAACAGGAUUAGAUACCCUGGUAGUCCACGCCCUAAACGAUGUCAACUAGUUGUUGGGGAUUCAUUUCCUUAGUAACGUAGCUAACGCGUG
rnacentral:rRNA from 1 species